AUUCUUACAUAUAUAAUAUUAUAACAAUUAACAAUAUAUUUCUUUGCACUUCUCUUUUUUUCUUUUUUUUCUCUUCAUUUGUAGGUUAGACUAGAAACAAACCUAAUGGAGCCGGUGGAAAUGAAUCGCAGCACAAGCCUUAGUCCUCUUUUGUUUUGUUUUUUCUUCUGUAUCUCCCAACCUAUUAUAUACUCUCUAAUAGAUAGAAGCUUCGUCCUAAAAUAUAAGCCGACUUCCCCGGGUAGAAGUCCAAAGUCCAAAUUCCCGUUGCUUUAGUCUCUCUCUCUCUCUCUCU
rnacentral:lncRNA from 1 species